CCUCCGGCAAAGGGGAAAGCCAGGGACGGGAACCCUCUCUGAGCCACAGGGGCCAGAGGGCUUGCUUUUAUAGGGGUACAGGGGAUGGGUAAAGGACCAAUGGGUUACAGAGGAUUUGGGACGGGCACAGGCCAGUGGGUUACGAAGGAUCUGCAUAGUGUCUCCUAAAGGAUUGUGGGUCUGUCUUUUCUCGCCGUGACCAGAGAAGUGGUUGCCUUUCCAGGGAGUUCUGCUGGGCGAUUGCGAAAUCUCUUAUUUCAGCAGAGAUCCCUCCAGGGGAGUGGCUGGGCAUACCCCACACCCUGGCACUCCAGGUCCCCGAGGCGGCUUCGGAUCUCCGCGGUCACCGACGCUGCCGAUUUUCCCGGCGCGCGCCGUUCGACGUCGAGGAGCGGCAUCCAGAAGCUGUGUCGGAGCAUCUUCCUGGCUGGAAUGUUUUGAGUAAGGGCUGCAGUCAGGGUGUAAGCUGAAGGGUGUGUGACUGUGUGUGUGUGUGACUGUGUCUGUCUGCCUGCGAGAAGAGUGCGGGUGUGGAAUGGUUCUGACCUUGUGUGUGGGAGUUUUGCCUUUCAGCUACUUUUUAAACUUAGAGUAAAAACAACCCAGCUGCGCUGGCUGGGGAUUUUUUCCCUCCCGGCUGGGUUUUUUUAUCUGGGACCCGGCCGGUCUGUGAGGUGCCGUUCAUCGCCAGGGUUUGGGUGCCGACCGUGCCGGGGAUUUGUCAGGCGGGAUGAUUUUGGGGCUCCCGGGAACCGCGUUCCCAUGGGGUGCUCUCGAGACGAGAGCGAGGGUGGGUUUGUGUGUCAGCUGAAGGAGGUGUGUGGUGGAUGAGUGUUUUCUUCUCCGUGUGCUGCUGUUGUUUUGGGUUUCCUGGAACAAUAAAAUGUCCUAAAUUUUCCAGAAAUAGAACAAUUGUUACAUUGUACUGAUAGGGGGUUGGCUUGUGUUGCUCUGUGUUCGUGUUUGCUGCUGCACUUGCACAUAUUGCUCUGUAUGUCAGUUGGACUUUGACCAGUGUGCAUAUGGAUUGUACUUGUGCUUGUGUACAUUGUUGUUUCCACUUGCUUUGGUGAAGUGUAAAUAAAAAACCCUCGUUCAAUCAAGCUGAAUAAACCCUAAUAAAGAUACCCCCCCUCCCCCCUU